rnacentral:rRNA from 1 species
UACGUAGGCAGCAAGCGUUAUCCGGAGUUACUGGGCGUAAAGGGCGUGUAGGCGGACCUAUAAGUCUAUUCUGAAAGCUCCUGGCUAAACUGGGAGAGGCGAAUGGAGACUGUAGAUCUAGAGUGAGGAAGAGGAAAGUGGAAUUCCGCGUGUAGUGGUGAAAUGCGUAGAGAUGCGGAGGAACACCAGUGGCGAAAGCGACUUUCUGGUCCUUAACUGACGCUGAGGCGCGAAAAGCAUGGGGAGCGAACGGGG